rnacentral:rRNA from 1 species
UGGGGAAUAUUGCACAAUGGGCGCAAGCCUGAUGCAGCAACGCCGCGUGAACGAUGAAGGUCUUCGGAUCGUAAAGUUCUGUUGCAGGGGAAGAUAAUGACGGUACCCCGUGAGGAAGCCCCGGCUAACUACGUGCCAGCAGCCGCGGUAAUACGUAGGGGGCUAGCGUUAUCCGGAUUUAUUGGGUUUAAAGGGUGCGUAGGCGGCAUUUCAAGUCAGCGGUGAAAUGCCCUCGCUCAACGAGGGAUGUGCCGUUGAAACUGAGAGGCUGGAAUACGAUCGACGUGGGAGGAAUGUGUGGUGUAGCGGUGAAAUGCAUAGAUAUCACACAGAACACCGAUUGCGAAGGCAUCCCACGAGGCCGUAAUUGACGCUGAGGCACGAAAGCGCGGGUAUCGAACAGG